rnacentral:lncRNA from 1 species
UUUUAGUUGAAUAUUUAUCUUUUCAAACUUUCGUAUUUUUAUUAAAUUUGUUUGGUGAGGCUAGAAAAUUGUUGUCAGAUAUUCGCCAUUUCACAUCUUACGCUAUUUUUUCCAUAUGGGCUGUGGGCUAAACGAGUGUAUUGUAUUUCAAAUAAAAAUCCAUCGUUGAUGAGAAAGCAUUUAUAUUUAUCUAUUUGAUCUCACUCUUUUCUUGAUUUAGAUAAUAUAUGUAAACAUUUAAUGAUGGGGGAAAUUACCAGGUGGAUGAAUAAUGGCAUAUGGUGGCCAGUUAAAAACAAUUUCGAAGCUCAUGAAUCAAAUUUUCAAUGA